GAUAAACGCUGGCGGUGUGCCUUAUGCAUGCAAGUCGAGCGCCCUGACGCCAGUCGGGGAGCGGCAAACGGGUGCGUAAUACAUAGGUAACCUGCCCUUAAGUGGGGAACAACUCUGAGAAAUCGGGGCUGAUACCGCAUGCGGCCUUUCAUCGCAAGGUCGAGGGCCAAAGCCUUCGGGCGCUUGAGGAGGGGCUUAGGUCCUAUCAGGUAGUUGGUGGGGUAACGGCCUACCAAGCCAAUGACGGGUAGCUGGUCUGAGAGGAUGGUCAGCCACACUGGGACUGAGACACGGCCCAGACUCCUACGGGAGGCAGCAGCAAGGAAUAUUGUGCAAUGGGCGAAAGCCUGACACAGCGACACCGCGUGAGGGAAGAAGGCCUUCGGGUCGUAAACCUCUUUUCUCAGGGAGGAGUAAGGACAGUACCUGGGGAAUAAGCCACGGCUAACUACGUGCCAGCCGCCGCGGUAAAAC
rnacentral:rRNA from 1 species